ensembl:lncRNA
AUUUGGGGUUAAAUGUGCUUAACUGAAAUAAAAUUAAUGCAUAAUGCAAAUAAUAAUAAUAAAAUUGUUAUUGCUGUUGUUGAUAAUAAUAAUAAUAAUAAUAAUAAUAAUAAUAAUAAUAAUAAUAAUAAUAAUAAUACUGUGAAAUGAAAAGCAAAUCAAAUCAUGUUUUCAGAUUUGACAAAACACUAAAUUGAAACCCCGACAUUUCAAUAUGUACUUAUAAAAUCCAUCCAAGAUCAGAUGUCUAAUUUUAAAGCUCUUCUCAUUGUAUGUUAACGAACUCUUUUGCUCGUUUGAGAUCUUUAGAAGAAACUACUGAGGCUUAAAUGAAACAUAACUUGAGAACUGAGUCCUGUGAACUUUAAAAAAGCAAUGCAUUUGCACUCAAAAGUGAUGUUAAGGUAAAAUAAGCUUCUUCAUGAGUUAUCGUAAGGAACCUGUAAAGAUGUUUAAGAUGUUCUGCUGGUUGUUGGUUAGACGCUGCUAAACAGAAAGAGACACGCUGUUCUUAAACAAUGUCACUGCUUUCCUCUUUUAAACCUCAUGUAUACAGUCAGUGUGUUUUGGCUGGUUACUGUUGCUGUGCGUCUUUGUGCCCCACUUCAGGCCGUCCUGUUUGGAAUGAGCUCUGGAGAUACUUUCACUCAGAAGUGGCUCUGUAUGAAAGCUCGGUGGGCGUCUCUGGAGACAACAGCUGCAGGCUUUAACAAGCAGACCAGCGCCGGUAUAUCACACUCUAAAAAUGCAACAAUGAAGACACGUAACCCCAUAAGGACUGAACUGUGAUUGCCAUUAAGGUCACUGUGGUUCUCAGGAAACCCCCUGAUCUGCUGUUGUCAGGCCGAGCGGAGUGUUUCCUCGCUGUGAUCCAGGGAGCUGUUGAGCUCCACUUGAGCUCAAUGCUUCAAAACAUAAAUGUUAGAGCUGCUUCCUUAAUGUGCUGUGCAGUGGAAGUCUCUCGCUCGUGGCCUCCGUGACCCGCAGCUCCUGAACCUCAGCUGCCACUGAGAGCUUUAACCCGCGUUCUUACAGAGCGGAAGCGCUACAGGAAAACACGGCAUGUUUUUACUGAAUGCAGUGGGAAUAUUUCAACUUCUGUCCUGUGCUACACACACCACUUUCAGAUAUUACAUCAUCUGUUAAAGUUAACAAAACAAUGACAUUCACAGUCCAUUUUACUUUGGGAAUGUGGUGCAUUUCUGUAAAACAGGAUGUGCAACAAGAAAAAAAUUAGGGCGGGAUUUGUUGUGCACCAUCAGGAAUUGAUUGGUUUAAAAAGGGGCGUGGCUAGAUGUAUGAUGUAAUUGACAAAGGAAUAACGUUGCAGUGCUAAAAUAUUUAUAGGCCUAAAUUUAAGAUUUAUGUUUUUGAAUUGCAUUUAACAUUAACUAAUAAACUUAACGUGAUGCACA